GGAGAUGUAGCUCAGUGGUAGAGUGCUUGCCUAGCAUGCGUAAGGCCCUAGGUUCGAUCCCUAGUACUGUCA
rnacentral:tRNA from 1 species